GGGGGCUUGGCUCAGCUGGUAGAGCGUCUCCCUUGCACGGAGAAGGUCAGCGGUUCGACUCCGCUAGCCUCCA
rnacentral:tRNA from 2 species